AUGAGAUAGUGGUUGAGCCUCCACAGUCUUCCGGAAGCAGGGUCUCCAAGUACAAGGGGACCAAGGAAGCAAGAUGGACGAUAAUAUCUCCGUCUCUUGACGAUGGGUUUAGUUGGAGAAAAUAUGGC